rnacentral:misc_RNA from 1 species
UCAUGACGGUCCCCAGGAAGU